rnacentral:rRNA from 1 species
UACGUAGGGUGCAAGCGUUGUCCGGAAUUAUUGGGCGUAAAGAGCUCGUAGGCGGUUUGUUGCGUCGGCUGUGAAAUCCCGAGGCUCAACCUCGGGUCUGCAGUCGAUACGAGCAAACUAGAGUGUUGCAGGGGAGACUGGAAUUCCUGGUGUAGCGGUGAAAUGCGCAGAUAUCAGGAGGAACACCGGUGGCGAAGGCGGGUCUCUGGACAUUUCCUGACGCUGAGGCACGAAAGCCAGGGGAGCAAACAGG